rnacentral:rRNA from 1 species
GGAUGUUCCGCCUAUUAGUUUACUUUUAUUAUGUUGGUGUAUAUCUGGUUUAAUAUUAUUGUUGAAUGAUAUAAGUUUGUGUAGUUUACUAAUUAAGCCAAGUCUAUGUGCUGCUUAUAAAAGUAUUCAUGCGUUACUUUAAUAAAGUUUUAGUUGUAAAUACUAUUAUAUUCAGGACUUAAAAGUAAUGUUAAAUUAGUUUGUUAACGUGAAGUAAGUUUAGCUCAUGUACACACCGCCCGUC